CUGUGUGGAGAAAAGCUGGUACUCCUCAGGCAGGAUCCAGGAGCGGGGGGUAGAAGUUGUACUCCUCAGGCAGGAUCCAGGAGCGGUGGUAGAAGUUGUACUCCCCAGGCAGGAUCCAGGAGCGGGGGGUAGAAGUUGUACUCCCCAGGCAGGAUCCAGGAGCGGGGAUAGAAGUUGUACUCCUCAGGCAGGAUCCAGGAGCGGGGGGUAGAAGUUGUACUCCCCAGGCAGGAUCCAGGAGCGGGGGGUAGAAGUUGUACUCCCCAGGCAGGAUCCAGGAGCGGGGAUAGAAGUUGUACUCCCCAGCUAGGAUCCAGGAGUGGGGGUAGAAGUUGUACUCCUCAGGUAGUAUCCAGGAGCGGGGAUAGAAGUUGUACUCCUCAGGCAGGAUCCAGGAGCGGGGGGUAGAAGUUGUACUCCUCAGGUAGUAUCCAGGAGCGGGGGGUAGAAGUUGUACUCCCCAGGCAGGAUCCAGGAGCGGGGAUAGAAGUUGUACUCCCCAGGUAGGGUCCAGGAGUGGGGGUAGAAGUUGUACUCCUCAGGUAGUAUCCAGGAGCGGGGAUAGAAGUUGUACUCCCCAGGCAGGAUCCAGGAGCGGUGGUAGAAGUUGUACUCCCCAGGCAGGAUCCAGGAGCGGGGGGUAGAAGUUGUACUCCUCAGGUAGUUUCCAGGAGCGGGGAUAGAAGUUGUACUCCCCAGGCAGGAUCCAGGAGUGGGGGUAGAAGUUGUACUCCUCAGGUAGUUUCCAGGAGCGGGGAUAGAAGUUGUACUCCCCAGGCAGGAUCCAGGAGUGGGGGUAGAAGUUGUACUCCUCAGGUAGUAUCCAGGAGCGGGGAUAGAAGUUGUACUCCCCAGGCAGGAUCCAGGAGCGGUGGUAGAAGUUGUACUCCUCAGGCAGGAUCCAGGAGUGGGGGUAGAAGUUUUACUCCUCAGGGAACAGCUCCUGCAUGGUCCUCACCGCUUGGCUCAGGUUGAUCUUUCUCAGCAUCUCUAUCAUA
rnacentral:lncRNA from 1 species